UACGGAGGGUGCAAGCGUUGUCCGGAAUCACUGGGCGUAAAGGGUGCGUAGGCGGCCCUGUAAGUAUGGUGUGAAAUCUCCCGGCUUAACUGGGAGGGUGCGCUAUAGACUGCGGGGCUCGAGUGCGGGAGAGGAAAGUGGAAUUCCUAGUGUAGCGGUGAAAUGCGUAGAUAUCAGGAGGAACACCGGUGGUGUAAACGGCUUUCUGGACCAUAACUGACGCUGAGGCACGAAAGCGUGGGUAGCAAACAGG
rnacentral:rRNA from 1 species